rnacentral:rRNA from 2 species
GAGAUAGGAAUUCCACGUGUAGCGGUGAAAUGCGUAGAGAUGUGGAGGAACACCAGUGGCGAAGGCGACUCUCUGGUCUGUAACUGACGCUGAGGAGCGAAAGCGUGGGGAGCGAACAGGAUUAGAUACCCUGGUAGUCCACGCCGUAAACGAUGAGUGCUAAGUGUUAGGGGGUUUCCGCCCCUUAGUGCUGCAGCUAACGCAUUAAGCACUCCGCCUGGGGAGUACGGUCGCAAGACUGAAACUCAAAGGAAUUGACGGGGGCCCGCACAAGCGGUGGAGCAUGUGGUUUAAUUCGAAGCAACGCGAAGAACCUUACCAGGUCUUGACAUCCUCUGACAACCCUAGAGAUAGGGCUUUCCCUUCGGGGACAGAGUGACAGGUGGUGCAUGGUUGUCGUCAGCUCGUGUCGUGAGAUGUUGGGUUAAGUCCCGCAACGAGCGCAACCCUUGAUCUUAGUUGCCAGCAUUCAGUUGGGCACUCUAAGGUGACUGCCGGUGACAAACCGGAGGAAGGUGGGGAUGACGUCAAAUCAUCAUGCCCCUUAUGACCUGGGCUACACACGUGCUACAAUGGACAGAACAAAGGGCUGCAAGACCGCAAGGUUUAGCCAAUCCCAUAAAUCUGUUCUCAGUUCGGAUCGCAGUCUGCAACUCGACUGCGUGAAGCUGGAAUCGCUAGUAAUCGCGGAUCAGCAUGCCGCGGGUGAAUACGUUCCCGGGCCUUGUACACACCGCCCGUCACACCACGAGAGUUUGCAACACCCGAAGUCGGUGAGGUAACCUUUAUGGAGCCAGCCGCCGAAGUGGGGCAGAUGAUUGGGGUGAAGUCGUACAGGG